rnacentral:rRNA from 1 species
UACGGAGGGUGCAAGCGUUAAUCGGAAUUACGUGGGCGUAAAGCGUGCGUAGGCGGUUCGUUAAGUCUGUUGUGAAAGCCCCGGGCUCAACCUGGGAAUGGCAAUGGAUACUGGCGAGCUAGAGUGUGUCAGAGGAUGGGUGGAAUUCCCGGUGUAGCGGUGAAAUGCGUAGAGAUCGGGAGGAACAUCAGGUGGCGAACGGCGGCCAUC